UCUGGUAAAAAAUCCUCUUCCCCUGGCCUAUGACUCAUAGUCUAGGCUAAGCUAGUCUUACACAGCACCAUUCUGCUGACAAGGAUUUGGUUCUCACUCUUGAACCAAGCAUGGCCAUCCUGGCUAUUCUCCAUUGGUAUCCCCUCACACCUACCAAGGAUCAGUUCUCCAGCCAUCUCUGACUUGCACUGAGACCCAGGAGGAUGAUUCUUACAGGCUACAUCAACCAAGCUCCCAUGCCCUCUGGCUUCUGGUGGGUUUGGUUGUGAGAGAUAUCAGCAAGAAAUCAGAGGAUAGAGAGAGAAAGAGCAGUCAAAAUAUAUGGCACCAGAAUGGAGAGUCAAACCAGUAAUGCCAGAAAAUGGAGUUGGAUGGACCAUUUAACCUUAAAGAGAAGGAAGAGUGGCAGCUUGAAGAAAUGCCUUAGUCAUGAAUACUCUAGAAAAAGAAGAGGAGGCAGAAGAAUAACUAUAAAGGAGGAAGCAUUAUACAUUUUCUUAAGCACCUAUAAUGUGCCAGAUGUUCUUCGAGAUGCUGGGGCUACAGUGGUAAGCAAGUGCUAUCUCUGUGGAGUUCACAUGUUAAUAGAAGGAAAAAGUGUUUUUAAUGUGCUUAUUAUCUAAAAUAUUUUCAAGUACCGAAGUGCGUAUUAUCUAAAAUAUUUUCAAGUACUGACAAAUACUAUGAAGAGGCUAAAAGAGGAUAAUGUGGUAAAGCAUGACUAGUAUGAAGAAGUUCCCUCUGAAAGGUGACAUUCAAGGAGUUCCUGUUGUGGCACAGUGGAAGCAAAUCCAACUAGGAACCAUGAGAUUUCAGGUUCAAUCCCUGGCCUCUCUCAGUGGGUUAAGGAGCCAUUGUUGCCAUGAGUUGUGGUAUAGGUCACAGACACGGCUUAGAUCUAACAUUGCUGUGGCUGUGGUGUAGGCCCAAGGCUGUAGCUCUGAUUCAACCCCUAGCCUGGGAACCUCCAUAUGCCGUGGGCGAGGCCCUCAAAAGACAAAAGACUAAAUAAAUACAUAAAUAAAUGGAUAAAAGGUGACA
rnacentral:lncRNA from 1 species